UGGAGAAUGAUGGUGUGUGAUGGUGAAUGUUGGUGUGUGAUGGAGAAUGUUGGUGUUUGAUGGUGAAUGAUAGUGUGUGAUGGUGAAUGUUGGUGUUUGAUGGUGAAUGUUGGUGUGUGAUGGUGAAUGUUGAAUGUUGGUGGAGAAUGUUGGUGUGUGAUGGUGAAUGUUGGUGUGUGAUGGAGAAUGUUGGUGUUUGAUGGUGAAUGGUGUGGAGAAUGUUGGUGUGUGAUGGUGAAUGUUGGUGUGUGAUGGUGAAUGUUGGUGUGUGAUGGAGAAUGUUGGUGUGUGAUGGUGAAUGUUGGUGUGUGAUGGAGAAUGUUGGUGUGUGAUGGUGAAUGUUGGUGUAUGAUGGUGAAUGUUGGUGUGUGAUGGAGAAUGUUGGUGUGUGAUGGUGAAUGUUGGUGUAUGAUGGUGAAUGUUGGUGUGUGAUGGUGAAUGUUGGUGUGUGAUGGUGAAUGUUGGUGUGUGCUGGAGAAUGAUGGUGUGAUGGAGAAUGUCGGUGUG
ensembl:lncRNA